rnacentral:rRNA from 1 species
UUUUUUAGGUCUGAUGUGAAAGCCUUCGGCUUAACCGGAGAAGGGCAUCGGAAACCGGGAGACUUGAGUGCAGAAGAGGACAGUGGAACUCCAUGUGUAGCGGUGAAAUGCGUAGAUAUAUGGAAGAACACCAGUGGCGAAGGCGGCUGUCUGGUCUGUAACUGACGCUGAGGCUCGAAAGCAUGGGUAGCGAACAGGAUUAGAUACCCUGGUAGUCCAUGCCGUAAACGAUGAGUGCUAAGUGUUGGAGGGUUUCCGCCCUUCAGUGCUGCAGCUAACGCAUUAAGCACUCCGCCUGGGGAGUACGACCGCAAGGUUGAAACUCAAAGGAAUUGACGGGGGCCCGCACAAGCGGUGGAGCAUGUGGUUUAAUUCGAUGCUACGCGAAGAACCUUACCAGGUCUUGACAUCUUCUGCUAACCUAAGAGAUUAGGCGUUCCCUUCGGGGACGGAAUGACAGGUGGUGCAUGGUUGUCGUCAGCUCGUGUCGUGAGAUGUUGGGUUAAGUCCCGCAACGAGCGCAACCCUUAUUGUCAGUUGCCAGCAUUUAGUUGGGCACUCUGGCGAGACUGCCGGUGACAAACCGGAGGAAGGUGGGGAUGACGUCAAAUCAUCAUGCCCCUUAUGACCUGGGCUACACACGUGCUACAAUGGACGGUACAACGAGUCGCGAAACCGCGAGGUCAAGCUAAUCUCUUAAAGCCGUUCUCAGUUCGGAUUGCAGGCUGCAACUCGCCUGCAUGAAGUUGGAAUCGCUAGUAAUCGUGGAUCAGCAUGCCACGGUGAAUACGUUCCCGGGCCUUGUACACACCGCCCGUCACACCAUGAGAGUUUGUAACACCCAAAGCCGGUGAGGUAACCUUCGGGAACCAGCCGUCUAAGGUGGGACAGAUGAUUAGGGUGAAGUCGUAACAAGGUAGCCGUAGGAGAACCUGCGGCUGGAUCACCUCCUUUCUA